GCAAGUCGAACGGCAGCACGGGUGCUUGCACCUGGUGGCGAGUGGCGGACGGGUGAGUAAUGCAUCUGAACGUAUCCUUAAGUGGGGGAUAACGCAUCGAAAGAUGUGCUAAUACCGCAUAAUCUCUGAGGAGAAAAGCAGGGGAUCUUAGGACCUUGUGCUUUGGGAGCGGCCGACGCCUGAUUAGCUAGUUGGUGGGGUAAAGGCCUACCAAGGCUUCGAUCAGUAGUUGGCCUGAGAGGACGACC
rnacentral:rRNA from 1 species